AUUGAACGCUGGCGGCAUGCUUUACACAUGCAAGUCGAACGGUAACAGGCCGCAAUGUGCUGACGAGUGGCGAACGGGUGAGUAAUGCAUCGGAACGUGCCCAGUCGUUGGGGAUAACUACUCGAAAGAGUAGCUAAUACCGCAUACGAUCUAUGGAUGAAAGCGGGGGACCUUAAGGCCUCGCGCGAUUGUAGCGGCCGAUGUCAGAUUAGGUAGUUGGUGGGGUAAAGGCUCACCAAGCCAACGAUCUGUAGCUGGUCUGAGAGGACGACCAGCCACACUGGGACUGAGACACGGCCCAGACUCCUACGGGAGGCAGCAGUGGGGAAUUUUGGACAAAGGGCGCAAGCCUGAUCCAGCAAUGCCGCGUGAAGGAAGAAGGCCUUCGGGUUGUAAACUGCUUUUGUACGGAACGAAACGGCUCUGGUUAAUACCCGGGGCUAAUGACGGUACCGUAAGAAUAAGCACCGGCUAACUACGUG
rnacentral:rRNA from 1 species